GAUGAACGCUGACAGAAUGCUUAACACAUGCAAGUCAACUUGAACUUCGGUUUGGGUGGCGGACGGGUGAGUAACGCGUAAAGAACUUGCCUCACAGAUAGGGACAACAUUUGGAAACGAAUGCUAAUACCUGAUAUUAUGAUUUUAGGGCAUCCUAGAAUUAUGAAAGCUAUAUGCGCUGUGGGAGAGCUUUGCGUCCCAUUAGCUAGUUGGAGAGGUAACGGCUCACCAAGGCGAUGAUGGGUAGCCGGCCUGAGAGGGUGAUCGGCCACAAGGGGACUGAGACACGGCCCUUACUCCUACGGGAGGCAGCAGUGGGGAAUAUUGGACAAUGGACCAAGAGUCUGAUCCAGCAAUUCUGUGUGCACGAUGAAGUUUUUCGGAAUGUAAAGUGCUUUCAGUUGGAAGAAAA
rnacentral:rRNA from 1 species